rnacentral:rRNA from 1 species
CCUACGGGGGGCAGCAGUCGAGAAUCAUUCACAAUGGGGGAAACCCUGAUGGUGCGACGCCGCGUGGGGGAAUGAAGGUCUUCGGAUUGUAAACCCCUGUCAUGUGGGAGCAAAUUAAAAAGAUAGUACCACAAGAGGAAGAGACGGCUAACUCUGUGCCAGCAGCCGCGGUAAUACAGAGGUCUCAAGCGUUGUGCGGAAUCACUGGGCGUAAAGCGUGCGUAGGCUGGUUCGUAAGGCGUGUGUGAAAGGCGCGGGCUCAACCCGCGGAUGGCACAUGAUACUGCGAGACUAGAGUAAAGGAGGGGGAGGCGGAAUUCUCGGUGUAGCAGUGAAAUGCGUAGAUAUCGAGAGGAACACUGGUGGCGAAGGCGGGUUCCUGGACAUUAACUGACGCUGAGGCACGAAGGCCAGGGGAGCGAAAGGGAUUAGAUACCCCGGUAGUC